GCUUCCCGGAAGGGUGCUUGCGUCCCAGGGUCCUUGUCGCGAAAGCUUCUUCCCCAGGUGGUGUAUCUCGGUUCUCCCGAUUCUCCCGCGUGUUACAGAGGUUUACUCACACAGCCUCCAGUGGCAGGAAUAGGUCUGGUGAAUAGGCAUAGCCAGGCUUGGGCCACAUGCCAGUCUUGAAACCAAGAGGAUUCAGUUCCAUUAGGAUCACAAGCAAUCAGGAGAAAUGGUGACUCUCAAGGCAAAAUGAAGCUAUAUUUUUUAGAGAAGACGGGAAAGGAUGCUGGAAAAGUGAAACAACAAACACCUGCUGUACUGUUGUGAACUGUAAUUCUCUGUUCCUCUGCCAAAACGAGAGGCCCAUGUUUGGAUCACAUCAGGAAAGCUGCUCAACCUCUGUAUGUUUCUGUUUCUUCAUUUCUAAAAUGAAAAUGAUUAAAUGGUUAAAAAAAGA